UCCGUAGGUGAACCUGCGGAGGGAUCAUUACCGAGUUUACAACUCCCAAACCCAAUGUGAACCAUACCAAACUGUUGCCUCGGCGGGGUCACGCCCCGGGUGCGUCGCAGCCCCGGAACCAGGCGCCCGCCGGAGGGACCAACCAAACUCUUUCUGUAGUCCCCUCGCGGACGUUAUUUCUCACAGCUCUGAGCAAAAAUUCAAAAUGAAUCAAAACUUUCAACAACGGAUCUCUUGGUUCUGGCAUCGAUGAAGAACGCAGCGAAAUGCGAUAAGUAAUGUGAAUUGCAGAAUUCAGUGAAUCAUCGAAUCUUUGAACGCACAUUGCGCCCGCCAGUAUUCUGGCGGGCAUGCCUGUCCGAGCGUCAUUUCAACCCUCGAACCCCUCCGGGGGGUCGGCGUUGGGGAUCGGGAACCCCUAAGACGGGAUCCCGGCCCCGAAAUACAGUGGCGGUCUCGCCGCAGCCUCUCCUGCGCAGUAGUUUGCACAACUCGCACCGGGAGCGCGGCGCGUCCACGUCCGUAAAACACCCAACUUCUGAAAUGUUGACCUCGGAUCAGGUAGGAAUACCCGCUGAACUUAAGCAUAUCAAUAAGCGGAGGAA
rnacentral:rRNA from 1 species